UACGUAGGGCGCAAGCGUUGUCCGGAAUUAUUGGGCGUAAAGAGCUCGUAGGUGGCUUGUCGCGUCUGCCGUGAAAGCCCGUGGCUUAACUGUGGGCGUGCGGUCGAUACGGGCAUCACUGGAGUUCGGCAGGGGAGACUGGAAUUCCUGGUGUAGCGGUGAAAUGCGCAGAUAUCAGGAGGAACACCGGUGGCGAAGGCAGGUCUCUGGGCCGAUACUGACGCUGAGGAGCGAAAGCGUGGGGAGCGAACAGG
rnacentral:rRNA from 1 species